rnacentral:rRNA from 1 species
CUGCCAGUAGUCAUAUGCUUGUCUAAAGGAUUAAGCCAUGCAUGUGUUAGUUUAAGUAUUAAAUAGCGAAACUGCGGACGGCUCAUUAAAUCAGUUCUAAUUUAGAUGGUAAAUCUGACGGAUAUCCGCAGUAAUUCUGGGGUUAAUACGUUUUCCAAGGUCUCUGGACCGCACUUGCGAGAGGCACCUACCAGCUUCGGCUAUAGGUGAAUUAUUGCAAUCUGGCUGACCGUAUGGCCUUGUGCCGACGGUGUAUCAUAUAAAUUUCUGCCCUAUCAAGUUUUGACUGUAGUGUAGUGGACUACAGUGCUUAUAACGGGUAACGGGGAAUUAGGGUUCGAUUCCGGAGAAGGAGGCAAAUUACCCAAUGGGGACACCCUGAGGUAGCGACAAUAAAUAACAAUGGUGAUCCUCUAUGAGGGUCACCAAUUGGAAUGAGAAUAAGCCAAACAAGUUAACGAGUAACCAUUGGAGGACAAGUCUGGUGCCAGCACCCGCGGUAAUUCCAGCUCCAAGAGCGUAUAUUAAAGUUGUUGCAGUUAAAAAGCUCGUAGUUUAUUAUAUGGUCGGUCAGUCUGGUCUGCCGCAAGGCGUGUACUUCUCUGGCCGACCCUCGUGCUCAUCCCUGGAACGUGCUUAACUGUAUGGAAAGGGGGUGAGCCUUUAACUUUGAGAAAAUUUGGUUGUUCCAAAAAGGUUUUACAGCCUGAAAAGAUAGCAUGGGACUAUACAACAAGGCAGUGGUCUCCAGGAAGGCCACUGCAAUGAUUAAUAGGAACCGUUGGGGACACUCAAAUUGUGCCGUUAGAGGUGAAAUUCUUGGAUCGGCACAAGUUGAACUAAUGCGAAAGCUUCUGUCAAGGAGGUUUUCAUUGAUCAAGAACGAAAGUUGGGGGAUCGAAGACGAUCAGAUACCGUCGUAGUCCCAACUGUAAACUAUGCCGAUCGAUAUUAGAGGCAAUAUAAAUCAUGAUUCCCCCUGUGAUCUAUAAGAAAUUAGAAUUUAUGGGUUCCGGGGGGAGUAUGGUCGCAAGUCUGAAACUUAAAGGAAUUGACGGAAGGGCACACCAGGAGUGGAGCCUGCGGCUUAAUU